AGGAAUUUUGGUUAUGGCUGAGGAGAUUCAAGAGGGGGAGCUCUGUCACCGGGAGGAGGAGGCCUGGUCGGAAAUGAACCUCCAGUUUCUUGGAGAUGGAUACUUGAUACUGAACAAAUGUCUGACAGGGCAGCAAAAGAGGUGUCUGGGUCUGUGAUCUUGACAGUGCGGGCCACAUUCCAGGACACAUGAAUCAUGGGGACGAUGGACUUGACCUUCUUUACUUCAU